rnacentral:misc_RNA from 1 species
AGAGAAUUGCUUGAACCCGGGAGGUGGAGGUUGUAGUGAGCCGAGAUCGCGCCACUGCACUCCAGCCUGGGCAACAGAGUGAGACUCCAUCUCAAAAAAACAAAACAAAAAACCAAUAAGCCCAGAAUCGGCCAGAACCCACAACCCAGUGAGACUGCGCUGUGCCAGGACGCCCACCACCUCCAUGCCGAGAGGAGGGGGCCACAGCCCUGGCAUGCAGCCCUGCCCAGUAGCCCGGCACCUGCCCCUGCCACGCAGGAAGCCCCCCGGCCUGCCAGCAGCCUCAGGCCUCCCCGCUGUGGCGUGCCCGACCCAUCUGAUGGGCUGAGUGCCCGCAACCGACAGAAGAGGUUCGUGCUUUCUGGCGGGCGCUGGGAGAAGACGGACCUCACCUACAGGAUCCUUCGGUUCCCAUGGCAGUUGGUGCAGGAGCAGGUGCGGCAGACGAUGGCAGAGGCCCUAAAGGUAUGGAGCGAUGUGACGCCACUCACCUUUACUGAGGUGCACGAGGGCCGUGCUGACAUCAUGAUCGACUUCGCCAGGUACUGGCAUGGGGACGACCUGCCGUUUGAUGGGCCUGGGGGCAUCCUGGCCCAUGCCUUCUUCCCCAAGACUCACCGAGAAGGGGAUGUCCACUUCGACUAUGAUGAGACCUGGACUAUCGGGGAUGACCAGGGCACAGACCUGCUGCAGGUGGCAGCCCAUGAAUUUGGCCACGUGCUGGGGCUGCAGCACACAACAGCAGCCAAGGCCCUGAUGUCCGCCUUCUACACCUUUCGCUACCCACUGAGUCUCAGCCCAGAUGACUGCAGGGGCGUUCAACACCUAUAUGGCCAGCCCUGGCCCACUGUCACCUCCAGGACCCCAGCCCUGGGCCCCCAGGCUGGGAUAGACACCAAUGAGAUUGCACCGCUGGAG